rnacentral:misc_RNA from 1 species
GAUGAAGAACGCAGCGAAAUGCGAUACGUAAUGUGAAUUGCAAAUUCUGUGAAUCAUCGAGUCUUUGAACGCACAUUGCGCCCCCUGGUAUUCCGGGGGGCAUGCCUGUCCGAGCGUCAUUGCUGCCCUCAAGCACGGCUUGUGUGUUGGGCCCCGUCCUCCGAUCCCGGGGGACGGGCCCGAAAGGCAGCGGCGGCACCGCGUCCGGUCCUCGAGCGUAUGGGGCUUUGUCACCCGCUCUGUAGGCCCGGCCGGCGCUUGCCGAUCAACCCAAAUUUUUAUCCAGGUUGACCUCGGAUCAGGUAGGGAUACCCGCUGAACUUAAGCAUAUCAAUAAGCGGAGGA